GGGCCUGUAGUAUAGUGGCAAUACACCGCAUUCGCAUUGCGGAGACAGGGAUUCGAUUUCUCUCAGGUCCACUA
rnacentral:tRNA from 4 species